GUAAGUAAUUCCAGACUAGUGGCGAUAUGGCAAUUUCAAAGCGGCAAAAUAUCAGCGUCGGCGGCGGCGCGCGGCUGAUCAACCGAACUGACAGCUGUCAGUGGCUGACAUGUGUCAAAUUGUACUGUACUACGUUUUAUUAUCGUUGUUAAACAAAGUGAAUUGUUCGAGGAUUACAAACAUUAUUGUAUCGCACAAUAAUAGCAUAUAGCAAUAUAUUGAUGGUGUUCUUACCAUUAUUUACUAUGAUUAUGUUACCAUUGAUUAUCUUAAAUUUAAAUAUUUAUUGAGUUUGUGAGUGGUCUUGGUCUACAGAUUUUAUUUUGGGUCUACAGAGCACAAAGUAUGGGUUAGCAAUAAAAUAUCAAUUAAUUGGUAAUACUUUUAUUUAUUUAAUACAGUUACAAUUUCAGUGGUUAUUUAAUAGAUAGCUCUUACACAAUUAUCUAUCAAAUAAGCAAGAUUGCUGUUGUAUGGGUGGGAUAGAAUAUAAGGCAGUGUCUUUGAUUGUCCCAUCAUUUCGAAGAAUAUAAUGUAACGGCAUUUUAUUUCAGUGUGAGGAAACUUAUAUUAAUAGUUAUACUAAGAAAAUAAAUAGUAAUUAAGUAACAAUGCAAUCUUAAAAAAUAUGGUUACAAAAAUUUCAGUCAUAUUUACAUUAAGAUAGAGUUAGCAGGUAGAUAAAAUUUGUUAAAAUUCUUACAAUUAAAUACAAACUACGUAAAAAUAUUAUAUUACAUAGUUACUCUUAAAGCAUGUGGCCACAGACCUUAAAAGUACAAAGAAGCUAAGCCUACAUCAUUAGAAAUAACUACUCAGGUGGAACCAAGUAAAGAGCCUCUCAAAAUACUAUUUACAAGAUUUCACCGCACCGAAUACCUAAUCCACACAAAAAUACUAAUAAAUAUUUCAUAGAAGAAUACGAAUUUCUGCUGAUCCGACCACUCGAGAGAACGUUCUCAAGUCAAUGUCCUUUCACAAAUUCACUACUUUGAACACAAGUCUUUAG